rnacentral:rRNA from 1 species
CCCUUAGAUGUUCUGGGCAGCACGCGCGCUACAAUGGUCUUCGCAAACGGAUGCAUUCUCGAAGGAGAAUGCCAAUCUUGGAAUCUAUGCCUUGGUCGGGACAGUUGCUUGCAAUUUUUCGACUCGAACCAGGAAUUCCUUGUAAUCGUGAUUCAUCACAUCACGAUGAAUACGUCCAUGCCCUUUGUACACACCGCCCGUCGCUCCUACCGAUCGAAGAGUUAGGUGAAUUGUUUUGAUCGAUAAGAUUUGACUAUGGUCAACUCUCGUUGUGAAAUUCUGUGAAUCUGACUGUUUAGAGGAAGGAAAAGUCGUAACA